GUGCCAGCAGCCGCGGUAAUACGAAGGGUGCAAGCGUUACUCGGAAUUACUGGGCGUAAAGCGUGCGUAGGUGGCCGUUUAAGUCCGUUGUGAAAGCCCUGGGCUCAACCUGGGAACUGCGGUGGAUACUGGGCGACUAGAGUGUGGUAGAGGGUAGCGGAAUUCCUGGUGUAGCAGUGAAAUGCGUAGAGAUCAGGAGGAACAUCCAUGGCGAAGGCAGCUACCUGGACCAACACUGUCACUGAGGCACGAAAGCGUGGGGAGCAAACAGGAUUAGAUACCCUGGUAGUCCACGCCGUAAACGAUGUCGAUUUGGAGGCUGUGCCCUUGAGGCGUGGCUUCCGGAGCUAACGCGUUAAGUCGACCGCCUGGGGAGUACGGCCGCAAGGUUAAAACUCAAAUGAAUUGACGGGGGCCCGCACAAGCGGUGGAUUAUGUGGUUUAAUUCGAUGAUACGCGAGGAACCUUACCAAGGCUUAAAUGGGAAUUGAUCGGUUUAGAAAUAGACCUUCCUUCGGGCAAU
rnacentral:rRNA from 1 species